AAGUGCUGUCAUUGCUGAGAUC
rnacentral:miRNA from 1 species